CUGGCUCAGGACGAACGCUGGCGGCAUGCCUAAUACAUGCAAGUCGAGCGGAGUUUGAAUGGAAGCUUGCUUCCGUUCUUACUUAGCGGCGGACGGGUGAGUAACACGUAGGCAACCUGCCCUCAAGACUGGGAUAACUACCGGAAACGGUAGCUAAUACCGGAUAAUUUCUUUCCUCUCCUGAAGAGAGAAUGAAAGGCGGAGCAAUCUGCCACUUGGGGAUGGGCCUGCGGCGCAUUAGCUAGUUGGUGGGGUAACGGCUCACCAAGGCGACGAUGCGUAGCCGACCUGAGAGGGUGAACGGCCACACUGGGACUGAGACACGGCCCAGACUCCUACGGGAGGCAGCAGUAGGGAAUCUUCCGCAAUGGGCGAAAGCCUGACGGAGCAAUGCCGCGUGAGUGAUGAAGGUUUUCGGAUCGUAAAGCUCUGUUGCCAGGGAAGAACGUCCGGUAGAGUAACUGCUACCGGAGUGACGGUACCUGAGAAGAAAGCCCCGG
rnacentral:rRNA from 1 species